AAAAAAGAAGAGCUGUAAACACUUAAUAUUUGGGGUCUCAGAAGUUUGGUGGACAUGACCCCUGGACCUGUUUAAAAUGUUGGGUUCCUUUCAACUCCACUGUGUUUCGGCCUGUAUCUGCAUGUCAGGAAGUUUGGGUUAGAGCACAGGGUCAGCCAUGAUACAGCGCCCCCUGGAGCAGAGAGGGUUAAGGGCCUUGCUCAAGGGUCCAACAGUGGCAGCUUGGCAGUGCUGGGGCUUGAACCCCCGACCUUCCGAUCAGUAACCCAGAGCCUUAACCGCCAAGCCACCACAGAAGCUGCAUUAGAAUCUACAUUAAUUAUUUUCAUAGAAAUAAAUGUAGUGAAGUGGCAUCAGGCCCUGACUCGGCCUCCGUUACUCCACUAUUUCUAACUAUUCAUUAACAGAGAAAUGACAAAACCAGUGUGAUUUAUAUGAGCUGUUCUCACAAUGGCCUUGGCCCGGAGAAAAAAACGAAGGAUCUCCCUUCCAGAGGAAAAAAAAAAAAUGUAGACAAGGAAAGAAUGAAGAAAAUAUGGAAGGAAUCUCCUCCCAGGUCAAACCACAAUGGUGGGAAAAGUUUGACUUACUCCAAAAGAGAGAGAUUUGUCUAAAAAGUUAGCGUUCUUCCUUUUCUUCUUUAUCCGAGUCUAAUUGCUUUACUCUGUUGGAAAUAAACAAAGCUGCUUUUGUAUAAUGUGAACGCUUCAAAAUAACCUUAGGGAUGUGGUGUGUGUGUGUGUGUGCGUGUGCAUGCUGGCUAAUAAGAAGCAGCUCAGUGUGAAAUGUAACAGCUGGAUGCACAUAAAACUUCAAAGCUAGGCUUAAUCAGAG
ensembl:lncRNA